rnacentral:rRNA from 1 species
AGUGAACGCUGGCGGUAGGCCUAACACAUGCAAGUCGAACGGCAGCACAGUAAGAGCUUGCUCUUACGGGUGGCGAGUGGCGGACGGGUGAGGAAUACAUCGGAAUCUACUUUUUCGUGGGGGAUAACGUAGGGAAACUUACGCUAAUACCGCAUACGACCUACGGGUGAAAGCAGGGGAUCUUCUGACCUUGCGCGAUUGAAUGAGCCGAUGUCGGAUUAGCUAGUUGGCGGGGUAAAGGCCCACCAAGGCGACGAUCCGUAGCUGGUCUGAGAGGAUGAUCAGCCACACUGGAGCUGAGACACGGUCCAGGCUCCUACGGGAGGCAGCAGUGGGGAAUAUUGGACAGUGGGCGCAAGCCUGAUCCAGCCAUACCGCGUGUGUGAAGAAGGCCUUCGGGUUGUAAAGCCCUUUUGUUGGGAAAGAAAAGCAGCAGGUUAAUACCCCGCUGUUCUGACGGUACCGAAAGAAUAAGCACCGGCUAACUUCGUG